rnacentral:rRNA from 1 species
GGACCCGCACAAGCGGUGGAGUAUGUGGUUUAAUUCGAUGCAACACGAAGAACCUUACCAGGGUUUGAAAUCAUUUCAAAACUCCUUGAAAAAGGAGCCUCCUUCGGGAUGAAAUGACAGGUGGUGCAUGGCUGUCGUCAGCUCGUGUUGUGAAAUGUCGAGUUAAGUCUCGUAACGAGCGCAACCCAUGUCUCUUGUUGCUCACUGAGUGCUUAAGAGAGACUGCCGACCAACAUCGGAGGAAGGUGUGGAUGAUGUCAAGUCAGCAUGCCCCUUACAUCCUGGGCUACACACGUACUACAAUGGUAAGGACAAUGAGCUGCGAUCCUGCGAAGGCUAGCCAAUCUCAAAAACCUUAUCUCAGUUCGGAUUGCACUCUGCAACUCGAGUGCAUGAAGGUGGAAUCGCUAGUAAUCGCUGGU